UCCAGCAAUCAGUGUUUUCGCAUCAUGUGACGACAUAAAGCUGGUUAUGAUGAAAUCGUUACCAAUAUAUCAAUAGUUAACUAUGGUUACAUUCGUUUUAGUUAGAAUAACCUGUUUCAGCGUCUCGCUUGUUUUAAUAUGCUUCCAUCUCAGUCGCUGCUCUUUGAGCACAGUAUCCUCCAUCACAGGAAAACUUCCUUUAAUAAAAUUUGCUCAAAAUAAAAUGAUUUGUGUCGGUGUGAACGUCUCCCAGUGGCUGAUUUAUACCUCUGUUUCUGUUUCAGAUUACAAACUUGGAUUAUUCCGGCUUUGUGGGAAGUGAAAUGAAGCCGGGUCCACGAGGACGUUAAAGAAAAAUGCGCCUGAAUUUUUGUCAGUUUUCUCCGACCAGGGUCCCGGUUUCCUUUUUAAAAACAGGAAGUCUUAAAUGUGUUUGAAGUACCGGAUCCGUCUGAUUUGUAGCCUUUUUUCCUGAUGCUGAAAAGUUUUACUCUACACAUAAAUAUUUUAUAAUGGCACAUUUCUCAUAAUUCAACUGAAUAUAAUUUUUGAUAUUUACUCAACUCAAUCUUAUUUAAAAGUAAUACAUAAAUAUAACCUUUGAAUUUGUUUCAUUCUUAUAAUUUUUUCUGUUUUUCAGUUAUUCAUAUUUUUGGGAACCACGUCAGAGUUUGGAUUUUAUGAUUGAUUAAUAAUCGCUGCUGACUGCACAGAGGGGCCAGAGGUCGCUGACUCGCCGGUCCAUCUGCCAGGCUGCGUCUGGAAGGAGCCAAUCAAGAGAGAGACGGCAAAAAAAGAGGACCAAUCAGAGAAGGAGGUGGAGACAGUGAGCGACCCACAGGAUCGGUGGGGGGGGGGGGCAGCUGCUAUAGGGCGAGAGCACGUGGACCACCAGCCUGUUGCAGAAUCACCAGGUAACCUAACCCCACUAACUGCAUGAGCUUGGACUGUGGGAGGAACCCAGAAAGAACCCACGCAGACACAGGUGGAAAAGUUACAGACUUACACUGCAGCGUCCCGGGAGACAGGAUGUCCUCAUCCAUGUCAUCGAGGUCAUCAGAGAGGAGCAGGUGCUGAGGGGUCGGAGGUCGCAGCCCGAGGAAGGACGGGUCCAGGUUGAGGGCGGUAGCCAGUGCGCCGAGACCCGGAUUGGUGACCAAACAGAAACCGGUCAGAGACUCAAUCUGCUGCCAGCGGUGCAGCUUCUCCCGCAGCGCCCCUGUCACCUCACCCAGGGCCUGUCUGAGAGGAGGAGGUACAAAAUCAGCAACCUGUGCAGGUAAAAGCCACCACCGGACACCAAAAGAUGUCCCGGAGCAAGUAUGGAAGAAAGAAAGACAGUAUUUAGGAAUCCAGCACAUUUAUAAAACAAAAUAAUUCAGGGACUCCAGUUAGCUGAGGUGAAGCCAAGCAGACAGCUAGCAGCUACAGCUGCCUGUGUCACCAUCCACCUGUCAGUCAGAGGCCACACCCCUAAUGAUGCAAACUUUAAGCCUUAAUUCAAUUUAAACAGGUGAGUUAUAAAAUACAGCUGUUAUGAAGGGGGCAAUUAUCUACAGAGACCUGCACAGUUCUGUAUCAGGCUGUCAACAUGUAACACGGGAGUCUAUGGGGACUGACUCACUGUGGCGCCUCUGCUGGACACCAGAGGAACUGCAGGGUUUGCAUUUACUCACUUGGCAGAGAGGAUCUUGUGGUCAACGUCGUCGAGCGAGGAACUGUGAGCCACGUGAAACGUGCCGAACAGGGAACUCCUCUUCUUCUUGAUCUUCUCUGCCUGAAACACCAUCAUCACCAUCAUCAUCACCAUCCUGUUUUGUUGUCACCCCGGUGAUAAAUGAAUAUAAGAAGCUGUGCAGUUUACUCUCCUGUUUUCUGUGUACUAAUCUGUAACUCUUGGUUCUUCAUCUUUUGUAUUUGAGCUUUAAAGAGGAAACAAAAUGUCAUUUUUUGAGUUUUAAUUUAUAUCCAGCUGGUUUGUUGUCAGUCAGUAUGACACCAUCAAAACAGCUUUAUGCUGUGACCUAUAAUUACAUUGAUUAUCAGAGUGCAUUUUCAUUAAUUAUUGAUUGUUUAGAGGAAAAUCCCCUGCAUACAACAUCAUCACUGU